GCUUAGGUAGCUUAAGUAAAGCGUUAACUUGUGGCGUUGAAGAUGUCUUGUUAAGGCCCUGGGCA
rnacentral:tRNA from 1 species